GACAGUAGCUAAGGCAGAAUCACACAGAUUUUUGGGUUUUAUUUUGUCUUCUACAGCUUGUUUCCCAGAUUGCGGCUCUAUAGAUGGCACAUAUGAGGACAUUAUUACAGGCCUUCACGGAAUGUUAAUAUGUGCACAGUCACAGGCAUUGUGUUAUCUAUUUUUAAAAAAGAUAAGAGAUUGUGGACCUGUCAAUGUCUUCUGACCUGACUAGUAGCAUUUGAUAAAGAUCCCCUUGCCCUCAGCCAACACCUCUACUGCUCAGUGGACACGUGACCAUAGGUGUCCAUAGGACCUCUCACAUACUAUAGAAUCCGGAAGUGGCUGACCAGGGAGAGUGAUACAAUGAUCUUCUGAAGGUGUAAUUACAUGCCAGUUUGAAGAUGAUACUCUGCCCAGAGAGGACCCUGAAUUAAUGACUAUAUGCUACAAUGUCCCUGAUCAGUGGGCUCUCUAUGAGACAGGGAACCAACGGGUGAAAGUUAGAUUGGCCCCACUUGCUUAGUUAGGAGUGACCAACUUGGAGACCCCUUCUUGUCCCCUCAGUCCUAGGCUUUGGGCCUCUAGAGAUCCUAGUUGUCAAAGACAAGUGCUUCCACUAUGAGGUUUAUUAUUAGUCCCAUUAAACUUUCAGCCACAAAUGCAGUCCAGUUACUAAGGGCUCCUUAGUAGGGAAACAAUUAACACACCUAAGGGUAAUUGAACUUACUCAUAGGAAGGAAAUACACUUAUUUUAUACAAUUGAGUCAGGAAAGAAUAAGUUAAACACCGGAGAUAUCUAUUGUGGGUAUCUCUUAUUACCCCUGACAAAAAUUUUUGGCUUGGCCAAACUUUAGUCAGGCUCCUAAGACUUCUCCUAGGCCCAUCUGUGCACUUCCUUGUAAAAUCCAGUUUUAGCAAAGUACCUGCCAAGUCUGUUUAGCAAGAAGUCCCCACUCUCAAUAUCCGAUCAACCUGGAAAAUCCGACCAACCUGGAGAGCUGAUCCUGAUCAAUCUGAUCAACCUGGAAAGCUGAUCCUGUUCCUCAUCUUCGACUUUCUCCCCAGGUGAUGUCUGAUCAUCCUGCCCUGUCUUCAGCAAGAAUCCUGUUCGGUUGGUUGAACCAGAGUCCCCCUAACCCCUCAUGUUUCCUCUAAGUAGUUCCCCUCCACUGAGCCCCACCCUGCUCCUUAGCUAUAAAUUCCCACUUGCCCAUGCUGCAUUUGGAGUUGAGCCCAAUCUCUCUGCCUUAAUGCAAAAUCUGAUUGCAGUGGUUCCUAUGCCUCUCUCAAUGGUCCCGAAUUAAGUCUGCCUGACCGUGCUUUAA